CCUACGGGUGGCUGCAGUGGGGAAUAUUGGACAAUGGGGGAAACCCUGAUCCAGCAAUGCCGCGUGUGUGAAGAAGGCCUUCGGGUUGUAAAGCACUUUCGGUUGGGAAGAAAAGUUUGGCGCCAAUACCGCCGAACCUUGACGUUACUGACAGAAGAAGCACCGGCUAACUCUGUGCCAGCAGCCGCGGUAAUACAGAGGGUGCAAACGGUACGCGGAAUCUCUGUGCGUAGAGCGGCCGUAGGUGUUUGAAAUCCCCGGGCUUAACCUGGGAACUGCAUUCGAUACUACACGGCUAGAGUAUGGUAGAGGGAAGUGGAAUUUCCGGUGUAGCGGUGAAAUGCGUAGAUAUCGGAAGGAACACCAAUGGCGAAGGCAGCUUCCUGGACUAAUACUGACACUGAGGCACGAAAGCGUGGGUAGCAAACAGGAUUAGAUACCCCUGUAGUC
rnacentral:rRNA from 1 species